UCCUCAGCUUCUCCUACAGACCAGAUGCUUCUACUCUUUAGGGCUGCCUGGAGCUCACUGUGUUUAGCGGUGGUUGCCAUGGCAGCAGAGCUGACUCAGGACCAGGUGUCGUGGACCAGGAGAGAAGGGGAAAAUGUCACCUUCAGAUGUACAAACACUGACCAGUGUGGUGGUACCGAUAUCUACUGGUACCAGAAGAAAGAGAGCGAAACAUUCAGGGUGAUUCUUGACAUCUCCAAGAGUACUGGUGCGCUUUAUAAAAAUUACAACCAUCCUCAGAAGGAUGAUUUCUCAUCAGUCCUCAAAGAGAACAGCUGGGAGUUGUUGCUUCAGGAGGUGAAAGCGUCCCAUUCUGCCACCUACUACUGUUCCUGUUGGACUAGUGCUGUGGAUAUCUUUGGUCGUGGCACCACCCUGGUUGUUACAGACAGGUCAGUAGAGCGGCCCAAAGUGAGCGUCUACCCAGCGACGGGAGCUGAUUUAAAGGGCCGGCGCUCCCUGCUGUGUGUAGCCAGAGACAUGGUCCCUGAGGAGGUCCGGGUGUCCUGGAGGAGGAGAGGGGGGGGCGGAGGGGGGGGGAAGGACGGGGAGCAGCUGGAG